ACUACGGGUGGCAGCAGUGAGGAAUAUUGGUCAAUGGACGAGAGUCUGAACCAGCCAAGUAGCGUGAAGGAUGACUGCCCUAUGGGUUGUAAACCUCUUUUAUAAAGGAACAAAACGCGGCACGUGUGCCUUUUUGCAUGUACUUUAUGAAUAAGGAUCGGCUAACUCCGUGCCAGCAUCCGCGGUAAUACGGAGGUUCCGAGCAUUAUCCGGAUUUUUUGGGUUUAAAGGUACCGUAGAUGGGUUGUUAAGUCAGUUGGGAAUGUUUGCGGCUCAAACGUAAAAUUGCAAUUGAUACUGGCAGUCGUGAGUACAGUUGAGGUAGGCGGAAUUCGUGGUGUAGCGGUGAAAUGCUUAGAUAUCACGAAGAACCCCGAUUGCGAAGGCAGCUUACUAAACUGUGACUGACAUUGAUGCUCGAAAGUGUGGGUAUCAAACAGGAUUAGAUACCCCGGUAGUC
rnacentral:rRNA from 1 species